rnacentral:ncRNA from 1 species
UUGCUGAAAUGCAUGGUGGGAAAUCAGUGUGAAAUUCAUUGGCUGUACCUGCAACCGUAAAGUCGGAGCGCCACCCAGUAA